rnacentral:rRNA from 1 species
GCCCUUCGGGGUGGAUUAGUGGCGAACGGGUGAGUAACACGUGGGCAAUCUGCCCUUCACUCUGGGACAAGCCCUGGAAACGGGGUCUAAUACCGGAUAACACCGGCCUCCGCAUGGGGGCCGGUUGAAAGCUCCGGCGGUGAAGGAUGAGCCCGCGGCCUAUCAGCUUGUUGGUGGGGUAAUGGCCUACCAAGGCGACGACGGGUAGCCGGCCUGAGAGGGCGACCGGCCACACUGGGACUGAGACACGGCCCAGACUCCUACGGGAGGCAGCAGUGGGGAAUAUUGCACAAUGGGCGAAAGCCUGAUGCAGCGACGCCGCGUGAGGGAUGACGGCCUUCGGGUUGUAAACCUCUUUCAGCAGGGAAGAAGCGAGAGUGACGGUACCUGCAGAAGAAGCGCCGGCUAACUACGUGCCAGCAGCCGCGGUAAUACGUAGGGCGCAAGCGUUGUCCGGAAUUAUUGGGCGUAAAGAGCUCGUAGGCGGCUUGUCACGUCGGGUGUGAAAGCCCGGGGCUUAACCCCGGGUCUGCAUCCGAUACGGGCAGGCUAGAGUGUGGUAGGGGAGAUCGGAAUUCCUGGUGUAGCGGUGAAAUGCGCAGAUAUCAGGAGGAACACCGGUGGCGAAGGCGGAUCUCUGGGCCAUUACUGACGCUGAGGAGCGAAAGCGUGGGGAGCGAACAGGAUUAGAUACCCUGGU